AGAGUUUGAUCAUGGCUCAGAUUGAACGCUGGCGGCAUGCCUUACACAUGCAAGUCGAACGGCAGCACGGGGGCAACCCUGGUGGCGAGUGGCGAACGGGUGAGUAAUACAUCGGAACGUGUCCUGUAGUGGGGGAUAGCCCGGCGAAAGCCGGAUUAAUACCGCAUACGAUCUACGGAUGAAAGCGGGGGAUCUUCGGACCUCGCGCUAGAGGGGCGGCCGAUGGCAGAUUAGCUAGUUGGUGGGGUAAAGGCCUACCAAGGCGACGAUCUGUAGCUGGUCUGAGAGGACGACCAGCCACACUGGGACUGAGACACGGCCCAGACUCCUACGGGAGGCAGCAGUGGGGAAUUUUGGACAAUGGGGGCAACCCUGAUCCAGCAAUGCCGCGUGUGUGAAGAAGGCCUUCGGGUUGUAAAGCACUUUUGUCCGGAAAGAAAACCUCUGGGUUAAUACCCCGGGGGGAUGACGGUACCGGAAGAAUAAGCACCGGCUAACUACGUGCCAGCAGCCGCGGUAAUACGUAGGGUGCGAGCGUUAAUCGGAAUUACUGGGCGUAAAGCGUGCGCAGGCGGUUCGUUAAGACAGAUGUGAAAUCCCCGGGCUUAACCUGGGAACUGCAUUUGUGACUGGCGGGCUAGAGUAUGGCAGAGGGGGGUAGAAUUCCACGUAGCAGUGAAAUGCGUAGAGAUGUGGAGGAAUACCGAUGGCGAAGGCAGCCCCCUGGGCCAAUACUGACGCUCAUGCACGAAAGCGUGGGGAGCAAACAGGAUUAGAUACCCCCGUAGUCC
rnacentral:rRNA from 1 species